rnacentral:rRNA from 1 species
GGCGGCAGGCCUAACACAUGCAAGUCGAACGGUAACAGGAAGCAGCUUGCUGCUUCGCUGACGAGUGGCGGACGGGUGAGUAAUGUCUGGGAAACUGCCUGAUGGAGGGGGAUAACUACUGGAAACGGUAGCUAAUACCGCAUAACGUCGCAAGACCAAAGAGGGGGACCUUCGGGCCUCUUGCCAUCGGAUGUGCCCAGAUGGGAUUAGCUAGUAGGUGGGGUAACGGCUCACCUAGGCGACGAUCCCUAGCUGGUCUGAGAGGAUGACCAGCCACACUGGAACUGAGACACGGUCCAGACUCCUACGGGAGGCAGCAGUGGGGAAUAUUGCACAAUGGGCGCAAGCCUGAUGCAGCCAUGCCGCGUGUAUGAAGAAGGCCUUCGGGUUGUAAAGUACUUUCAGCGGGGAGGAAGGGAGUAAAGUUAAUACCUUUGCUCAUUGACGUUACCCGCAGAAGAAGCACCGGCUAACUCCGUGCCAGCAGCCGCGGUAAUACGGAGGGUGGCAGCGUUAAUCGGAAUUGCUGGGCGUAAAGCGCACGCAGGCGGUUUGUUAAGUCAGAUGUGAAAUCCCCGGGCUCAACCUGGGAACUGCAUCUGAUACUGGCAAGCUUGAGUCUCGUAGAGGGGGGUAGAAUUCCAGGUGUAGCGGUGAAAUGCGUAGAGAUCUGGAGGAAUACCGGUGGCGAAGGCGGCCCCCUGGACGAAGACUGACGCUCAGGUGCGAAAGCGUGGGGAGCAAACAGGAUUAGAUACCCUGGUAGUCCACGCCGUAAACGAUGUCGACUUGGAGGUUGUGCCCUUGAGGCGUGGCUUCCGGAGCUAACGCGUUAAGUCGACCGCCUGGGGAGUACGGCCGCAAGGUUAAAACUCAAAUGAAUUGACGGGGGCCCGCACAAGCGGUGGAGCAUGUGGUUUAAUUCGAUGCAACGCGAAGAACCUUACCUGGUCUUGACAUCCACGGAAGUUUUCAGAGAUGAGAAUGUGCCUUCGGGAACCGUGAGACAGGUGCUGCAUGGCUGUCGUCAGCUCGUGUUGUGAAAUGUUGGGUUAAGUCCCGCAACGAGCGCAACCCUUAUCCUUUGUUGCCAGCGGUCCGGCCGGGAACUCAAAGGAGACUGCCAGUGAUAAACUGGAGGAAGGUGGGGAUGACGUCAAGUCAUCAUGGCCCUUACGACCAGGGCUACACACGUGCUACAAUGGCGCAUACAAAGAGAAGCGACCUCGCGAGAGCAAGCGGACCUCAUAAAGUGCGUCGUAGUCCGGAUUGGAGUCUGCAACUCGACUCCAUGAAGUCGGAAUCGCUAGUAAUCGUGGAUCAGAAUGCCACGGUGAAUACGUUCCCGGGCCUUGUACACACCGCCCGUCACACCAUGGGAGUGGGUUGCAAAAGAAGUAGGUAGCUUAACCUUCGGGAGGGCGCUUACCACUUUGUGAUUCAUGACUGGGGGUGAAGUCAUAAC